AGCUAACGCAUUUAGUGCCCCGCCUGGGGAGUACCGGCCGCAGGCUAAAACUCCAAGGAAUUGACGGGGGCCCGCACAAGCGGCGGAGCAUGUGGCUUAAUUCGACGCCACGCGAAGAACCUUACCUAGUCUUGACAUACCCAGAAACGUCCUGGAUGGACAGGCGCCCCCUUGUGCUCGGUGACAGGUGGUGCAUGGCUGUCGUCCAGUCGUGUCGUGAGAUGUUGGGUUAAGUCCCGCAACGAGCGCAACCCUUGUCCCGUGUUGCCAGCGCCUUGUGGUGGGGACUCACGGGAGACCGCCGGGGUCAACUCGGAGGAAGGUGGGGACGACGUCAAGUCAUCAUGCCCCUUACUGUCUUGGCUGCACACGUGCUACAAUGGCCGGGACAAUGGGCUGCGAUCCCGCGAGGUGGGCGAAUCUCAUAAAGCCGGUCUCAGUUCGGAUUGGGGUCUGCAACUCGACCCCAUGAAGUCGGAGUCGCUAGUAAUCGCAGAUCAGCAUUGCUGCGGUGAAUACGUUCCCGGGCCUUGUACACACCGCCCGUCAC
rnacentral:rRNA from 1 species